AAGAGAAGCACGUCUAUAGAGCAUCUGACCACGUCUACUUCACUUACAUUUAACAUCACUGAAAAAAGAAGAAGUCCAUGGAUCCAAUUUAAUCUGUACUGGCAGAGGAGUGAAAUAACUGGCAACUCUGACUUGUCUUCCAGUGACCAUAACAAAAUUAUCUCACAUCAAGUAUUGUACUCCUUGGAACAGUCAACAAAGAUAUUUAGGAAAAAAAAAUUAAAAAAAGAAGGGUGUUCCUUCUCAUCUCUUGCUUCAGGGAGCUUGAAGCACCACUUCUACACUGCAGCUGGUCAUGUUUUCAAAUGGGAGUUUGUUUUUCCAGUUUGUCAGGGAAAGGUCUCAUAGCAAGCAUUACAUUCACACAAAAUUACUCUUUCAGUGUCUGGAGCUGACAUGGGGUAACAUUGCCACAACUCAACAAUUUAAGGAAUGAAGCUGAAGGCUGUAUAUAACCAAAGCAAAAAUGUGAAAGAAGAAAAAAAAAAAAAAAAAAAAGCAAUUAUCAAUAUGGCAUGUGUUUUAGAGCCUUUAGAACACAACUGAGAGAAUGAUUUAUAGCUAGUACACUAAGAAAUUUCCUGCAUUUUUUUUCUUUUUUCUCUUAAAAGUAUGUGUACGAUCUUGUAAAGGAACUAAUUAGUAAGUUGUUCUUGAGUAGCUCAUUGCAGUAUUGGAAAUGUGAACUGAUUUUGAUUACUACAUGAAAAGCACUGGAAUUACUAUGUUGACUCCAUCAAAGUCAAAAUUUGAUCAAAGGAAUUCCUUUUUGUGAAUUCUGCAACAAAUGAACAAUUCAUGCAUUUUAUGACUCUGAUGCUAAAUAACUUUUUAGCAGUUGCUUUUUAACAUUUCCUUCUUAGCCUUGACAUUCCUUUCACAGUUUUUAUUUGGCAUGUGUUCAACUGGAAUGAUAAUCUACUGUAAUUUUCCAGUGAGAAAAUACAAUUAAAAAACAUCAAUAAUUAAUAAACUUAAACAUUGAUAAAUGUUAAUAAAUUAA
rnacentral:lncRNA from 1 species